UACGUAGGGUGCGAGCGUUGUCCGGAAUUAUUGGGCGUAAAGAGCUCGUAGGCGGUUUGUCGCGUCUGCCGUGAAAGUCCGGGGCUCAACUCCGGAUCUGCGGUGGGUACGGGCAGACUAGAGUGAUGUAGGGGAGACUGGAAUUCCUGGUGUAGCGGUGAAAUGCGCAGAUAUCAGGAGGAACACCGAUGGCGAAGGCGGGUCUCUGGGCCGAUACUGACGCUGAGGAGCGAAAGCGUGGGGAGCAAACAGG
rnacentral:rRNA from 1 species